UGGGGAAUUUUGGACAAUGGGGGAAACCCUGAUCCAGCCAUCCCGCGUGUGCGAUGAAGGCCUUCGGGUUGUAAAGCACUUUUGGCAGGAAAGAAACGUCGCGGGUUAAUACCCCGCGGAACUGACGGUACCUGCAGAAUAAGCACCGGCUAACUACGUGCCAGCAGCCGCGGUAAUACGUAGGGUGCAAGCGUUAAUCGGAAUUACUGGGCGUAAAGCGUGCGCAGGCGGUUCGGAAAGAAAGAUGUGAAAUCCCAGAGCUUAACUUUGAAACUGCAUUUUUAACUACCGGGCUAGAGUGUGUCAGAGGGAGGUGGAAUUCCGCGUGUAGCAGUGAAAUGCGUAGAUAUGCGGAGGAACACCGAUGGCGAAGGCAGCCUCCUGGGAUAACACUGACGCUCAUGCACGAAAGCGUGGGGAGCAAACA
rnacentral:rRNA from 1 species